CUCGGCGCGCGCCACACACACAUCAAUCGGCUACGACUCGCAUUUUGCUUCUGUGGCAAGUUGAAACGUUACUGAAAGCGUUUUUGUUCUUUAGGUAAUGAGGUGGCGUAGUUAGGGAUGAAACCACCAUUGAUCGACCCACUUUGCUUCGUUUCCUAUUUUAAUUGCGAUCCAAUUGCCUCUCGAGCGACCGACAUAUUUCACGCGUGUCGUUUUUGGCGCCCGUACGAGACGCCUCUUCGCCCGCCGGCGCCGUUCCACGGAUUCCGGACGUCCGCUCGUAACGAACGGCGAGGACGGCGAGCGAGUGAAUAUCAUUGCUUUUGAAAGUCGACAACAGGGAGAAUAAAAGACAAGGCUGGCUGGGCACGAAUGUGGAGCAGAAAGAACAACAAUAAACUGAAGCUCAAAUGUGAGUUAUCGGAAGAAAACCCGGAGGACCCGGAGGAAACUCAUGCAAAACAGAACGUACAAACUCUGCACACAAGGGAAGUGCCUGAACCAGGGAUCGAACCCCAUGCAUUUGCUGUGAGGCCACAAGCACUUCCGAUACGCCAUCAUACCACCAGGAACGGAGCUGAUAGCUUCCUCAUCAAAGUCAGCUGCACCUCCCGGGCUCAACACGGUCACAAAAUAAAACUAAAUGCAAACAGAAGCAGACAGAGGUAAAUGUUUGGAAUUACACUGAGAGGCAGAAGAUGAACACGUGGAUCAGAGAACACACGCAAGUCAGAGACGUCAUAAUGAAGUGUUUUGAUAAGUAAGUGUGCUUUGGGCAGAACGUGAGAUGGAAUGCACCCCCUGACGAUGUCCACCAAUGGGAGCAAUUACAUCAGCCUGUGUGCAGGUGCAAAAUGGACUGCUGCAUCGCAAGAGAUGGUGACGGCUUUGGGAGGCCUUUAUCCAGCAGUGCGUACAUCACGGCUGAUGAAGAUUAAAAAUUCACAGACCUUUUUUUCAUUCACUGCGGGAUGCAGUUCUCCCCUUGUAGUGUCAGCCAGCUUGGUUGUUUGACCAUACUUCACCACAAUGGCGGGAGACAAACGAUAUGAAUCGAUGAAUCGCUGCAUCGUUAAACCUCUACUGUCACCUCCAGGGCCGAGAUUUUUACUUCACAAACCUCCCCAGAUUGGGAGUGCUAUAAUAAUCCACAUCUCCAUCAUCAGUAGUUCCCCAUGAUCUAUCCACUGCUGCACGAAUUCCUCCCAAAGCCACCGCAAUCUCCAACCGUCUUGCGAUGCGGCAACACUCCGUCUUGUUCACGCCGCAUCAUUAGACUCAAAACGGAGGUCGGGUCUUGGCAAGGGGUCUGGUGGGAGCCGGUUUAAAACGGACGCGCGUACACCGGCACUGCGGGACCACCAACCACAGCUUCCCUGAGUAAACAAGCUGCCAAUUACCCAAGUCGUGUACUGCCAGUUCUCGCUACCCAAUGCCCCGUGGAGUCCCUGGGGGGGGCAUACCUAUGGUAGACGGAAUCAGGCCCAAUUGCCUGCAGUAGGCCGUGUGCCCGCUGCUGCCGGGAGCCGUAAACCAAUCCAAAGGGUUCAUAAAUACAUUCAUCGCUUUAAAUCGCGAGUGAGGCAAUGGGGAUUAAUUAUGACUUAUGGAUUAAAGAGAAUGCAAUUUUAAGCCAGCAAUGCGUAAUCAGGGACGGGCGACUAUUGCGGGGCAAUUUGCACCACGCCGUAUUGUGCUUUCAGCUCGGAUGUUAAAUUGAAGCGCACGGCAGCGCGGAUAAUCACAUUGAAGGAUUUCUGAACACCCCGCCCCCCCCCCCCCCCGAGUUGGUGAUGUAUUGAGGAUGUCAAAUGAGCGAACGUUUUGCUGGGGCUGUCGCACAUUUCCUAGGAUGCAUAGCUCCCCGACGGGCUGUGGCCAAAAGGUUAGAGGUUAAAGGUAUUCAGAAACCAACGCCCGGGGAGAAGACGCAAGGGUGAUUGAGGACCAAUGCUCCUCGAGCUCCUCCAGGUGACACGAAAAUAUAGAGUGUCCCCCCUCCUCCUCCUCCCCCCUCUCUCCUUGGAGAGAAUCCAACAGGCAAAUCCGCAGACAGAUUGUGAGGGGUCCCUGAUCCGUGUUUCAGGAGAGUGCAAGUGCAUCAAGAGCUGGGACGGCGAGUUGAAACGGGCCUCUUAGAAAGACGAAGCCAGAUCUUCGUCGCCUCUCUUCGUUUGUCGUCGAUUACGGAGGGAUCCCUUUGACGAUGGCGGCCAAAGCCGACACGAGGCCUCAAGCUGCUUCGAGUUACCCAACGAGUCGCGUGCUGAGCCGUUUAUAAUCGGUGGAGUGGUCGAUAAUUAUUAUCCAAGCGAUUGUGAUAACCCGGCUUUACAGUGCACGCUUCUUGGGGAGUUUUGCACCACUUGAUUACAAAAUUACACAUGGGCAGGUGCCAGCGGCAUUGGUUUUUGGAUGGCUGUGGAAAUAGAUGAUUUAGGUUAUUUGGCUGCUAUAAACUUCCACGUGAUAAGCCACUUCAAUGAGCUACCUUUCCUAUACUUUGCAUUCCUAUCGUGUUUGUAUUGUUAUAACUUUCUGACCCACCCCUACUGGACAUCUGUGAAAAAAGAGCUUUAUAGCUCAUCGUAUUUCUUCAGUGUGAAUAAAGAUUCUGAUUCUGAUAACCUCCAAUGCCUUACGACGUGCAGUCAAAACCCGAAGUGAACUCAGAGCACUCUGUAUCGGAGGACGCACCGAGGUUCCUGUGCAUGUUUUCAGGAAGCUCAAUAUGCCAAUCCCGGGGUCUUAACACAAGAGGUGUAAUGAUGCAUCAAUUAAUAAAAGCCACUGCAUGCAUUCACCGCAAGUGAGUGUGGCCGCUAGUGGCUGGGACAAUUGGGUUCAGUCGUUACACCUCUAACACCACGAUCUGUUCCUGCUUCCAAUUUCCUUUCUGUUGUCUUUUUAUUAUGAAGUGCUCAUUCGUGUCAAGAUUAAAUAAACAACGAAAGAUAAUGCCGUGACACGGGUGACAGCUAAAUAUAAAUCCACUGCUUGACGGAGGAGCAAGCUGGUGAGAAAUUGGUCUCGCGCGGUGGCGAUGAUGCACGGCUACCUGGGAGGCAGGGUUGGUGGAUCACAAAGAGAUGGAAAUAUAAUAGCAUACCGGAGCCUGAAUGAGAUUAAAAUGCACGUAAAAAAAUGUAGAGCAGGUGCAAUAGUGUGACAUUUGAAAUGAUCAAAUUUGUAAGCACAUCUGCAAUUACAGAUUUCAGCCUGUUUUCUUCAAAACAGGGAUGAAAGAAAUGUGGUUUAUGCCGCACUCGAAAAACUAAUUAUACUUGAGUGAGACAACCCACAUACUACCUUCUCAAAUUCAUUAAAAAAAAUUCAAAUGCUGACGAUUCGGUUCAUCACCUGACAUCAACGACGACCUAAUGUCAGAUGAGCUUCAGAACAAUGUCGGUGAUCCGCCAGCUUGCUGAACCAAUGCUGCCGACGGGACGCGUAAAACAUACUUUGUGCAUGCAGGCGUUUACCUGCUUGUUGCGGCAAAGGAUAUAAUGACCGCAGUGGCAGGUUGGGUGAGCGAGAAUGAAUUCAAGAAUGACUGCAGCAGCUUCCGAAGUAACGUGGGGGAACCUGCUGCUGUGGCGGCGGCGGCGGCUAAUGUCGCAGACACCACAGCUGCAAACGCGGCAAAGCAAUUUACAGCUCAGCACCAAAAUCCACCCAAGGGCCUGCCAGCGGGAGCCAGUGGUGUCGCAUGGGGCGUAACCAACGGCAACAACUGGCAGCCAUAUUCCAAAUUACAAAGAGGAAAAAAUACCUCCCGUCGUUAAUGAUUCUUAAUGGUUCUGUUGUCGUUCGCCAUUGUCAAAUACCGCGGCCGUACCACAUGUG